GGGUCGGUGCCCGAGUGGUUAAUGGGGGCGGACUGUAAAUCCGCUGUCUUUCGACUUCAGAGGUUCGAAUCCUCUCCUGCCCA
rnacentral:tRNA from 1 species